GAUUCCCCUAGUAACUGCGAGUGAAAAGGGAAGAGCCCAGCGCCGAAGCCGCCGUCCAUCACAGUGGGCGGAGGGCAAUGUGGCGUUAAGGAAGAGCCUCCUUGACCUGAUGUUUCGUUGUUCGGACCGCGGGAGCCCGAGUCCCCCUGACCGGGGCCACUGCCCAUGGCGGGUGCAAGGCCUCUUCGGCUCCGUUCGACGGUUCGAAGGUUGCUGGCUUCUUUCCUCAGAGUCGGGUUGCUUGAGAGUGCAGCCCUAAGCGGGUGGUAAACUCCACCUAAGGCUAAAUAUCACCACGAGACCGAUAGCGAACAAGUACCGUGAGGGAAAGUUGCAAAGAACUUUGAAGAGAGAGUUCAAGAGUACGUGAAACCGCUCGGAGGCAAACGGGUGGGCCCUCGAAGGUCGAACGGGGGAAUUCAGCCUGUCGGCGUUCGCUUCCUAACCGUCGAAAAGCAUUCGUGCGAAACGGAUCCGAAACUAAAGCGGACCGGGCGGCAGGAUUAGAAAUUUAAAAAAAGCGUUCGUCGGCUCGUGCACUUUCCCCUUAGUAGGACGCCGCGACCGGUCGGGUCAAUAUUUUCAAAAGUUUUGCGGCCAUGAGGCGAGAACGAUCACGGGGGCAGGUGUCCGUUUCCGCGGGUCUCGUUCUGGCGUUUGCGGGGCGAUUUCGGUCGUUUCGUUUUCGUCGUUCGUUUUCCAGGUUCGGAGUUACAGCCCCUUCUCGACCCGUGCACCGCCACCCGACCGACAAAUGGUCACGAAUCCGCUGACGCGUGCCCGCGAAUGUUCUCUUUUUCUUUUUUCCCCAGCAAUGGGGUUGGAGGGAGGGAGAGUCAAACGCUCGCCCUAGUCCAGGGCAGGCCGGAUGCAUGAGUAAAAGUCCCACUUCGACCCGUUUCAAACGCGGGUAGGGGAUCCGACGGGCGCCGAAAGCAAAAAACCGAAAAGGCGGUCGUCGGCUCUGUGUCUGCCGUUACGCCCACGUGGAACUGGAAUCUGGCGUAGAGGCAAANNNNNNNNNNNNNNNNNNNNNNNNNNNNNNNNNNNNNNNNNNNNNNNNNNNNNNNNNNNNNNNNNNNNNNNNGUCGUAGGGUCUGCUUUUAAACGAGCUAAACCCGAUGGCGAAAUGAAAGUGAAGGCCGCCCCUUCGGUGGGGAAACAGAACGGCCGAGGCGAGAUCCUAAAAAAGCCGGUUCUCUUCGCGGAGAGCCGGCGAAAUUUUUAAAAGAAACCGGACAUGGUAGGCACGCUGAGCGAAAUUUUUUUCCGUGUAAAAACGGGGAAUUUUUUUGCGAGGCGGUCCGGAGGCGCAUCGCCGGCCCGUCUCGAUUGCUCCGACCUUCUCCCCCUUCCCUCAAUUUUCGGUCGGCUAAGAAUAAGGGGUUUUUUUUUUUCCUUGGGAGCCUUUCGCGAGGUUUCUUUGGUUUAAAUUUUCCCCCGAAAACUUGGUCGGUUUCCGGUCUGUCGAGGUGUCGGACGGAGUCGGAAGGAACUUAGUCAAUGAGGCGGAGCAAGAGCACACACGUUGGGACCCGAAAGAUGGUGAACUAUGCCCGGGCAGGACGAAGCCAGAGGAAACUCUGGUGGAGGUCCGCAGCGAUUCUGACGUGCAAAUCGAUCGUCGGACCUGGGUAUAGGGGCGAAAGACUAAUCGAACCGUCUAGUAGCUGGUUCCCUCCGAAGUUUCCCUCAGGAUAGCUGGCGCUCGGAAAUAAAUAGAAUUUAAAAAAAAAACGAUGAAACAGUCUCAUCCGGUAAAGCGAAUGAUUAGAGGCAUUGGGGCCGAAACGGCCUCAACCUAUUCUCAAACUUUCAAUGGGUGAGAUGUCCGGCUUGCUUAACGAAUAGAAAACAGGGGGGUCGUUCGGCGGUUUCUUCUCUGCGUGCUCGUUUGCUUUGGGCCUCACUCUUCGCGGGGUUUGGUUUUUUAGUUUGCGGUGCGUCGCUCUGGAGUCUUCGUCCGUUCGGCCACAAACCCUUGAAGCACGGACGUAGGAUGCGAGUGCCCAGUGGGCCACUUUUGGUAAGCAGAACUGGCGCUGUGGGAUGAACCAAAAGCCGGGUUACGGCGCCCGAUGCGGACGCUUAUCAGACCCCAUGAAAGGUGUUGGUUGCUAUUGACAGCAGGACGGUGGCCAUGGAAGUCGGAAUCCGCUAAGGAGUGUGUAACAACUCACCUGCCGAAGCAACUAGCCCUGAAAAUGGAUGGCGCUCCAGCGUCGAGCCUAACCCCGGCCGCCGGACGGCAUUGAAAAAGUUGAACUGAUUAACCGAAAAAAAUCGAUGCCCCGGCGAGUAGGAGGGUCGCGGUGGUGAGCGUUGAAGGGAUCGGGCGCGAGCCUGCCUGGAGCCGCCACCGGUGCAGAUCUUGGUGGUAGUAGCAAAUACUCGAGUGAGAACCUUGAGGACUGAAGUGGAGAAGGGUUCCAUGUGAACAGCAGUUGAACAUGGGUCAGUCGGCCCUAAGGAAUAGGGGAAACCCGUUCUGAAAAGAAACCGGAAUGCAAUCACUCAAAGCGAAAAUUGACCGGUGAUGACCGAAAGGGAAUCGGGUUAAUAUUCCCGAACCCGGAUGCGGAGAUCGACCCUCGCGGGUCUAAAGCGGUAACGCGCAACGAACUCGGAGAUUGCCGGCGGGGGCCCCGGGAAGAGUUUUCUUUUCUUUGUAAAGGACGGACUCCCUGGAAUCGGCUCGCCCGGAGAGAGGGAUGUUGUUCCUGUAAAGCACCGCGGCUCUUGCGGUGUCCGGAGCGCUCUCGUCGGCCCUUGAAAAUCCGAGGGAGUGAAUGAAUGAUUUCCGCACCGGACCGUACCCAUAUCCGCAGC
rnacentral:rRNA from 1 species